rnacentral:misc_RNA from 1 species
GGCAGCCGCGGUAAUUCCAGCUCCAAUAGCGUAUAUUAAAGUUGUUGCAGUUAAAAAGCUCGUAGUUGAAUUUCGGGAUCAAUUUGCUGGUCGUGCCUCUGGUACGUACUGGUAUUAUUGGUUUCUCCCUUCUGACGAACCAUGAUGUCAUUAAUUUGAUGUCGUGGAGAAUCAGGACUGUUACUUUGAAAAAAUUAGAGUGUUUAAAGCAGGCAUUAGCUUGAAUACAUUAGCAUGGAAUAAUGAAAUAGGACGUUUGAUCCUAUUUUGUUGGUUUCUAGGAUUGACGUAAUGAUUAAUAGGGAUAGUUGGGGGCAUUAGUAUUCAAUUGUCAGAGGUGAAAUUCUUGGAUUUAUUGAAGACUAACUACUGCGAAAGCAUUUGCCAAGGAUGUUUUCAUUAAUCAAGAACGAAAGUUAGGGGAUCGAAGACGAUCAGAUACCGUCGUAGUCUUAACCAUAAACUAUGCCGACUAGGGAUCGGAUGAUGUUAAUUUUUUAAUGACUCAUUCGGCGCCUUA